GAUGAACGCUGGCUACAGGCUUAACACAUGCAAGUCGAGGGGAAACGACGGGGAAGCUUGCUUCCCCGGGCGUCGACCGGCGCACGGGUGAGUAACGCGUAUCCAACCUGCCUCUGACUGAGGGAUAACCCGUCGAAAGUCGGCCUAAUACCUCAUGGUAUCGUCUGCGGGCAUCCAACGAUGAUUAAAGAUUUCAUCGGUCAGGGAUGGGGAUGCGUCUGAUUAGCUUGUUGGCGGGGUAACGGCCCACCAAGGCUACGAUCAGUAGGGGUUCUGAGAGGAAGGUCCCCCACAUUGGAACUGAGACACGGUCCAAACUCCUACGGGAGGCAGCAGUGAGGAAUAUUGGUCAAUGGGCGAGAGCCUGAACCAGCCAAGUAGCGUGCAGGAAGACGGCCCUAUGGGUUGUAAACUGCUUUUAUGCGGGGAUAAAGUGAGGGACGUGUCCCUCAUUGCAGGUACCGCAUGAAUAAGGACCGGCUAAUUCCGUG
rnacentral:rRNA from 1 species